rnacentral:rRNA from 1 species
UACGGAGGGUGCGAGCGUUGUUCGGAUUCAUUGGGCGUAAAGGGUGCGUAGGCGGCGCGGUAAGUCGGAUGUGAAAUCUCGGAGCUUAACUUCGAAACUGCAUUCGAUACUGCCGUGCUUGAGGACUGGAGAGGAGACUGGAAUUUACGGUGUAGCGGUGAAAUGCGUAGAUAUCGUAAGGAAGACCAGUGGCGAAGGCGGGUCUCUGGACAGUUCCUGACGCUGAGGCACGAAGGUCAGGGGAGCAAACGGG